AGACUCAAGAGAAUUCGACAACAUAUGUAUCAGAAGAUCAAAAUCAGAAACUGAAAUCUGCCCAUGUAGAGUGUCACCAGAGAAUGUUGACCAUCUCCUCCAAAAUUGCUCUCUUUACCAAGAGGCUGUACAUGACACUGGCCCCAAAACACCCCAAUAGAAAGAAAACUAUAUGGAGAGUUCCCUGAUUUGGAAAUCACUGCAAAAAUAAUCUCAUAUACUGGUCCAGUCAUCUGAAUGCUCCAAUAAAAAAAUGAGAAGGAAGAAGAAAGAAGAUUGUAUGUACCAUUUUUGUUUGAGGAUGGGGAGAAAAGUGAUCUUAGAAUUCAAACACCAAAAGUAUGUGUCUUUAUGAAUUCAAUGUAAUUGAUACUGGGCUUUUUGGGCUGAAAAUAAAAUGCAAAAAAUUUUAUUGGACUUGCAGAAAAAAAAAGAGUUUUUAGCCAAAAUAAACAAUGUAUAGCCUGAGAACAAAUCAGGGGGAAGAACCAAGGGUAAUGCUAGUAUACUAUAGAAGUAUCUUUUUUUAUCCUUGCAACUUCACUGAUGCAUAACAGUGUCACAAACUGUUUGUUAAUGUGAUAUGAAACAUAAUUUUUUUAUUUUUUUUGUUACACAUAUAAUCACUCUAAAAAAAUUAUUUCUAAAAUAGAUAACUGUCUCUAGUAACCUGCUAGUGGACCAUGACCAACCUUUUUCUAUCUUGCUUUGUAUGUUAUAAACUUUCCUAGAUUUGACUUUAAAUUGUUGAUCUAGACAUGUCAGUUAUGCUAUAGGCUACUUUUAAUUGCAUAUGUUAGACAAAAAUUGUGAAAACAAGAGUACAUAACAUUUUCUAAAGAAAUUUUCAAUAUUUUGCAUUUUGAGGGGAGCAACAUGGCUAUUGAAAAGCAGAGACCAUACAAACCUCAUUAGAUGAAGAGUUUUAUUUUGUUGGUAAAGUCCUUGGUUUUGAGCCAGCAGAGAAACAUAGAAAGCUCUAUUUUGACAAUAUAUAAAGAGUGACUUUAGCUCAACUCCUCACCAAGCUUUACAGUCUGUGACAUUUUUUUGGUAAAACUUUUAAUCAGAUUUAUGUGUGUAUACUUAAUUAUGUUAACUACAUUUAUCAAGAAUACUCAAUUCAUAAAAAGAAGCUGCUUUAAAGGAUUAAAGAUAACUUUGACCCUUUUGAGAAAACAAAUUUAAACACAAGAUUUUGAAUUAAUUUUGUAAUUCUUUUAUAUUUUUUUUUUCUGAAAGCCACAUAACGACACAAGUAUUUAUUCAAGGUUUUGAAUGUAUGGUAUACUGUUAGGUUUAGUAUUGAGUCAUUCAGUAAAUUGUUUUUGUUUUGUGGUUUUUUAUAAAUUAAUAAAUUGAAGUUUAUAUAAUGUGUUAUGCUUAUAUGUAUGAUUUUUUUUACUGAUCUAAAGAAAGAAACUUGAGGAUUUUAAUUUUUAUUCCUUUUGAAACAUGUAAGGAAUAUUAGAACAUUGGUUGGCAACAUUAUUAGUGUAAAAAUGUAUUUCACUUAGUAGCCAAGAAUGCUUAUAACUGAGAUGACAUCAGUAAUUGUGGUUAACAAGGGUGCCAUGUUGUCAGCACAAUAACCAACCGCCUUUACUUUUCCUAACUCAUAUCAGGUACCCAUUAGAGCUGGGUGGACUCAAAGGCACCAUAAGGAUCCCAAAAUUAAAAUACCCGUCUUCACUAGGAUUUGAACCCAGGGUCCUCCUGUUUGGAAGUCAAGUGCUUUACCACUCAGCCACAUGCCUCCGUUAAAGGCUAGAUUUUGUGACAAUUAUUUUUAGGAGAGAGAAUGAUGUAUGCACAAAGUUGUAGCUUUUUUUUAUUUUUAUUAAAUUUAUUUGUAUUUAA